GCGUGACUCUCCAGAUGUAGUCUGAGUCUGGUCGUUGUGAUAGCUUCUAAGUCUCUUCUUUUGAGAUACAGCAAGCAGACCAGAUACAUGCACCCAGGACUCUAAUCUCAACCUCCUUAUCACCUUGUAAGCAAAUAAGCAUUUCAAAGACACACCAGUACAUUCUUAUGCAAACCAAGGUAAGCGAGCAUAUCACAGUGAACAAAUGAUCUUCCACUUAUCUCACCCGGGACCCCCAAAACAACCCAGCGGAAUCCCCAAAAAACAGCUCCGGGACCACCAAAGAAACCCAGCGGGAUCCCCGAAAAACAGCCCUGGGAAUCCAAAAAUUCCCUUCAGGAGCCCCAAAAAUCCCCCUGGGACCCCCAAAAUUCCAUAUAGAACCCCAAAACCCCCCCGGGAUCCCCAAAAACCUCCUGAGACCCCCAAAAUUCCCUUCAGGACACCAAAACCCCCACAAGACCCCCAAAAUUCUAUUUGGGACCCCAAAAAUUUCUCCCAAAAACCUGAGAUCCCCAAAAUUCUCCCCAGGACUCCAAAACCUCCCCUGGGAUGCCCAAAAUUCCCUUUGGGACCCCAAAAACUACCCUGGGACCCCAAAAUUCUCAUCAGGGUCCCCAAAAUUCCUCCUGGGACCCCCAAAAGCCCCCUGAAACCCCCAGAAUUCUUUUCAGGAACCCAAAACCGCAUCCAGGACCCCCAAAAUUUUACUCGGGACCCCCAAAAUUCCUCCCAAAAACCCCCUGAGACCCCCAAAAUUCUCCCCAGUGCUCCAAAACUCCCACUGGGGCACCCAAAAUUCCCUUUGGGACCCCAAAAACCACCCUGAGACCCGCAAAAUUCCCAUCGGGGUCCCCAAAAUUCCUCCUAGGACCCCCAAAAGCCCCCUGAGACCCCCACAAUUCUCUUCAGGAACCCAAAAUCCCCCCCAGGACCCCCAAAAUUCUACUCGGGACCCCCCAAAUUCCUCCUAAAAACCCCCUGACACACCCAAAAUUCUCCCCAGGACUCCAAAACCCCCCCUGGGAUGCCCAAAAUUCCGUUUCGGACGCCAAAACACCCCCCAGGACCUGCAUAUUUCCCUUUAGGACCCCUGAAAUUCCUCUUGGGAUCCCCAAAAGCCCCCUGAGACCCCCAGAAUUGUUUUCAGGAACCCAAAACCGCAUCCAGGACCCCCAAAAUUUUACUCGGGACCCCCAAAAUUCCUCCCAAAAUCCCCCUGAGACCCCCAAAAUUCUCCCCAGGACACCAAAACCCCUCCUGGGAUGCCCAAAAUUCCCUUUCGGACCCUAAAAACCCCACUGGGAGGCCCAGAAUUCCCAUCAGGGUCCCCAAAAUUCCUCCUAGGACCCCCAAAAACUUUGUGAGACCCCCAGAAUUCUUUUCAGGACCCCAAAACCCCCCCAGGACCUUCAAAAUUCUAUGCGGGACCCCCAAAAUUCCUCCCAAAAACCCCCUGAGAUCCCCAAAAUUCUCCCCAGGACUCCAAAACCCCCCCUGGGAUGCCCAAAAUUCCUUUUGGGACCCCAAAAAUCCCCUUCAGACCCCCAAAAUUCCCAUCAGGGUCCUCAAAAUUCCUCCUGGGACCCCGAAAAGCCUCCUGAGACCCCCAGAAUUUCUUCAGGACCCCAAAAACCCCCCAGGACCCCCAAAAUUCUACUCGGGACCCCAAAAAUUCCUCCUAAAAACCCCCUGAGACCCGCAAAAUUCCCAUCAGGGUCCCCAAAAUUCUUCCUGGGACCCCCAAAAGCCCCCUGAGACCCCCAGAAUUCUCUUCAGGAACACAAGACCUUACCCAGGACCCCCAAAAUUCUACUCGGGACCCCCAA
ensembl:lncRNA